AAAAUCUCUCAGUUGUUCGAUUUUGACCUCAUAGUUUCAAUUACGUGAUUAUGGUCUCUCAUAUUUAACCAAAAGUACUCACAAAAAUGAUCAAUACACUUUAUAACUAAAGGUGUUAUCACCUUUGGACAAUCAUCUUUAGAAACACAUGGAAUGUUAGCUGCAUUUUCAAAAUUAGAAAGCAAAGAAAGUUACUAAAAUGUGACCAAAAUAUUGUGUAUAAGACAAAAUUAGAAAAAUUGAAAAUGGUAUAAAAAAUGGCAUACUUAUUUCCGCCUUUUUAACAAGAAACUGAGAAAGAAGGAUGAUCAAAACAAAAACAAACAUGAGAUAUUGAGCCAUUUUUUCCUCCUUUGCAUGUAUUAGAGAGAUUGGUUUAUUAGUACAAAUUUCAUACUUUGUUAACUUCAAUUAAAUAGUUUAAUUUAACACUAAAAAUUUGUAAGAAGCAAUUUAAAAAAUGGUGAUUAUUGUAUCCGUCUUUAAUCAAUAUGUCACAUGUAUCCCUUCAGCUCAUUCAAUUCAUCACUAAAAUUUAGUAAAUAUAUCACAUAAACUUUUUGAUAUUCAUCAAGGUUCAUUAUUUUUUUAAUAAUCUUGAUUAUACAUAUAUAUAUUUUUCUUUAUAUAUUUUAGCCUUUUAUAAAAGAAGGUAAAGAAUUAUAAAAAAAAAAAUAGAUAUAUGAAUAACGCUUCUAAGAGGUGACCACACAUUUUUUAUAAAGAUACUAUUGGGCUAUUUUUCAUACGAUAUUUUAUAUUAAAGUGAUGUACUCUAUCAAUUUGAAUGAAUAAAUAUCAUAUAUUUUUAUGUGAAAAAAUAUAUUCAACAUGAAUGUUGUAUGAGUUGAGUAAAUGUUGUGCUAUCAUGUACAAGAAAUCAAUAAGAAUUAAAUCAAAAAAUUAUAUAUGGGGUGUAGUAUUGUCACUGUAUCGACAUAAAUGUAAACAAAAUAAAAAAUCUAGAAUUAGAUUCAAAAAGUGAGUGAGUGUGCUUUGGUUUUCUUAUAACGUACAUGUACUAGUACUAGCAUAUAAAAGGACCGGUAUACAAGAGAGAGGUGUGGUGUGACAGAAAGGCUUAUUAAGCUUUAGGUUUCUCAAUGCGAUAUAUUUCUAAAUGUGAAAAUUAUAAACAAACCUUAAGUUUCCAUCACAUCCAAAUGUUCUUCCUGAGACCUUGUUAAUUCACGCGCGAUGCUAGCAAAAUGACUGUUGUAUCCUGUAGGGCACUAGCUAUGAGACCAUCCACAUCAGGUGAUUCAUCUGUGGUGGAGAAAUACUCUUAACUCCUGUGCAUUUUCACGCUUCAGAUCAACAAAUUCGAUAAAUUUUUCUACUAUAUAUUUUUAUUUAUUACUAGUCAAUUUAUUUAUGCUAAUAUUUAUCUUUGAUUUAUUGUUAACGAUAAUUCUAUGUCAUAACUUUUCCCACAAAAUACACGUACUUUGUCACAUAUACAUAUAACAUUAGAAGAUUGAACUCUAAUUGCUUGUCACUGCCAACGUACACUCAUAAAUGAUGCUAUAGUAGUGGUUUUGAUCUGCAUGAAAUUUUUAUUCAAGAUAUAAUUUUUUUUUAGUGAUGACCGAGGUUUGAAUUCCGAACCUAACAUAUAUUAUGUAUUAUCUAAAUAAAUUAAGUUAAGUUUACGAGGACAUCUAAGAUAUAAUUAGACCUACGGCAUUUUCAUCAUACUGCAAAGCAAAAUAUAAUUAAGUAUUUCGCCUUCCAAUCUAUCCAGAUCCAUACCUAUACAAUUUGUCUAUACUAUUAGACCUAGUUAAUCUAAACUUGUCUAUAUUUGUGUGUACAUAGUGAUUAAUUAUGCUUAUACCUUUUGAGGGUAAACCAAUUGUAGAUUUGUGACUUGUGACAAUCAUUUUCAAAGUUAAAUAUGUUGUGAUAAUUUGAAGCAAAAUACUAUUAUUUAACGAUGAAUGCUUGUCAAUGAUUAAAAAUGCAUUCUUGUGUGAUACGUUGGUGUGGCCAUUGCUUGGUGUUGCUGCUUGUUUGAGAACUUGAAAACUUGUGACUUCAGAGAAUUACGUCGUAUUGAUUUUGCAAGAAGUUUUUGACAUUUUCAUUGAAUGGUUUCCAUCGUUGAAUCCAAAAAAAAUCCACCAAAAUAUAUUUUGGAAAGGAGGAAAAGAUAAUGUAGCGUUAUGUAUUAUGUCAAAUAUUUUAUGUCUGUCCCCCCGUAAACAUUACUCAGCUGGCAAGAACGAUGCAUUAUUAUAUGCGUGAGACUCGAACCCCAAAGCAUAACUGUUCUACAUGGAUGUAGUUUUUUUUGUGAAUCAUAAAUGUACUACCAAUGUGAUGUAAAAAUAUUAUGACAUAUAAAUACAAUUAUAUAUUUAUCAAUAAAAAAGGUGAAUAGAAAUCACAAGGCAAGAAGACAUGCCAUACAAGCUGACACACCAACUUCUCACAAUCAUCUACAACAUCUCAAAGCAAUGAGACAAAGCUUGGUGAAGGAAAAUAGAAUGUAGAUCAUACAAAUACAAUUAAAUUGAAAGUCAGAGAAAUAUAAAUCAAACUUUGAAGCAAAUUAAAAACAUUAUGAUGGGUAAACAAUAUGCUUAAAUAAACCCUUCAAAAAAAAAAAUGCUUAAAUAAACUUUUGCCCUAUAAAAUUUCUCAAUUGUUCGAUUUUGACCUCGUAGUUACAAUUACGUGAUUAUGGCCCAUCAUAUUUAACCAAAAGUACUCACAAAAAUGAUCAAUACACUUUAUAACUAAAGGUUUUACAACCUUUGGACAAUCAUCUUUAGAAACACAUGGAAUGUUAGCUGCAUUUUCAAGAUUAGAACGAAAAAGAAGUUACUAAAUUGUGAGUAAAUAUUGUGUAUUAGACAAAAUUAGAAAAAUUGAAAAUGGUGUAAAAAAUGGUAUACUUAUUUCCGCCUUUUCAACAAGAAAUAUAGAAAGAAGGAUGAUCAAAACAUAAACAAACAUGAGAUAUUGAACCAUAUUUUUCCUCCUUUGCAUGUAAUAAAGAGAUUUUUUAUCGUUUUACUUGUAGAAAUUUCAUACCAUGUUAACUUCAAUUAAAUAGUUUUUAACACCUAGA
rnacentral:lncRNA from 1 species